CUCAUUCUCUUUUUAAUUGUUCCGUUUCUCUACUUAAUUAUGUUUAAUUCAGUUUCAUUCUCUCUCUUUCGUUUUUCAGUUGUGGUAAGUAUCUUUUAUAAGUAUUUGGUUGUAAUCUUUGUUUAAAAAAAUAGUACAGUUAAUUUUAUUUAAUGAAUCUUGGGUUUAAUUUUAGUUAGAUUUGCCCAUUAACAUUGAUUUCAAGUUUGAUUCUUUUUUUGUUGCCUGCUAAUUGUUAUACAUAAUGCUUCAACUAGAAAAUGAGGUAUGCAUUAUCACAGGGAUGGAAACUCAAAGGAGCAUGAUCAUCUAAAAAUGGAUACUUCACACAAGGAUCACAUUAGAGAGCAUGAGGAAGAAGUAAAACUUCUUCAGAACCUAUCACAUCCAAACACUAAGCUAAGAUGGAGGAUGCGUCAAGUCCAUGGAGGGAGUGUUGGUGAACAUAGUUCUAAAGCAAGGCAGCUUUAUAUGACAAUGUCACUUAAGCUAAAACGUCUAUUGGUCACAUAUAGAAGAUGGUUUUGAAUUGGUUAUCUCUUU